rnacentral:misc_RNA from 1 species
UGAGAUUGUUGUUGCGCUAUCUGGCAACCAUCAUGGACUUGAACUGAUCCUCCAGGCCCAUUGUUUACCACUGCAGGUGCAUCAUCAACCCUAGUAUCAUCUUCCUCAGAUGAGCCUAACCCCUGUCCAUCACCCAUCAUUCCAUUCCUAUAUUGCUUCUGCUCACAACACAUAUUGUUCUUUCCAUCUGCCAAACCUUUCUCACCCACAACUCCAUUGGUCACCGCAACAGAAAACAUCAACGAGUUUCAGAAGGACCAUUGAUGAGGAAUGCAUGGGAUUGCAUUGAGAAGAUAUUCUUUUAUAAUUUACUAAAAGUAGAGGCCGCUUUCCCCAGAAAUUAACCUCUACAAACACAAGCCAUUCAACUGAAUCCCAAUCCAAAUAAUGUUUUUGGCAAGCAACAUUGAUUAUGGAAAUAACAAAAAAGAAAAGAUUCAUCAAAUGCCAAUUCAUGCUCCAACCAACGUAAUUUCACAAAGUAACUCAAAAGUCUAAUGCUUUGUUUGGGAACCAAAAGAGGUAAGAGAAAAGAAACGAAAUUUUAAGAGGGAAAUGAAAAGCAACAAAAGGAAAUGAAUUUUGCAUUUACUUUCUUUUAUUUGGAUUCCUUCUUACAAUGGGAGGGAAGUUAAAUUUCCAUAGAUUGUGUUUUUACUAUUAAGGGCUUAACAAUGUUUAUGUGCUUCUAAAAUAAAUGCUAUAUUGGUAAAAUCAUAACAAUUUCUCUUCAUUUCCUUUGUUUUCCCACCAUUUUGGAAGGAAAUUAUAAGUGCUCAAAUUUCCUCUAAUUUCCCUUCUCUUCUCUUCCCUUUUAUUCCCUUCUCAUUUUAAGAGCCAAACGAAAGAUUUUAGAAAAACCAUUUUCCUUUCAUUUCUCUUCUUUCCAUUUUCAUCAAUACCUAACUCUAGAAGAAAUGAAACAUAUCACCUUGCAUUUCUACUGUGGAGAAAAGAAGAAGAAGAGAUAUAUAAAUUCAUGCCAGAGAAAGAAAAUAACAUUUCAUAAACUGACAAUAUACAUAAAUUACCAGUUAAUUCAAGAGAUGAUUAUAAGUAUAUGAAUCAUUAUCUUGGAAACACACUAAAUAGAAUCCAAUCAAUCUUCAGUCAUCAAUAUCUCUUCGAUAGCAACUCAAAGCCCUAAAUCUAUAGGAAUGGCAGCUACUAAAGACACACCCUUAAGAGUUACUCAACAAAAAGACACAACUGACAAAGUAAAAAUUUUAACUCCAUCCCUACAGCUCAGUUUGGGAUUGAGGUUGAGAGGCUACAAAUGCGUUUUCUGAAAAAACACUAUUUUAGAUGCUGUUUAUGUUGAAGGAAAAAAAAUAUUUAAUUAAUUUAGAGUUCAUAGAACUAAAAUAUAUUAAAUUUAACUCUAAACAGAUUUUUAACUUGACCCUAUAUCAAUAUUCAAUACACAUAACAUUUGAUAUCAACAGAGCCUUGAUUUCCAAUAUUUUAGCAAAGGGGAAAAGAAAGACAAAUGAACAA